GUGUUUUCUGGGCAGGAUACUUCAAGUAUGACAUAGAUCAACUGGAGGUGACCCAGAAGUGAACAACAGAAAGAAGCGUAGAAGACAUGAUCCAUGAAGAAAAAGUGGAUCAGUUGUGUUUGUUUAUUUUACAGAAAUAUGGACUGAGCAGGGAGAGGAUAACAGUCUUCAAAUGUGAAAAAAAAGUGGCACAAAGAUGGCAAGCAGCAAGUGCUCUCACUGGUCCUCAUGAAGAAAACAUCUAAUAAAAAGAGUCUCUGCACUUCUCUUAAUUAGGAGCAGCUCUCUAGGUCAACAACUACCUAUGAUGCAGCAAAGGAAAACCAGGACUCAGAAGUCUUUUUUUUUGUGAUUUAUAUGCACCUGUCAUGUGUUCUAAUUAUAUUUUCAGAAAUGUCUAGGUCAGCAAACACCUUUUUAGUUAUCUGUGUUUUCAAAUGAUGAGUACAAGAGAUACCAUGGUGGGUGUAGAUUACACUUAUCCCUUAAAAUCACCUUUUCAAAAGCUAGGUGACUGAAUAGUUUUAUGUGAUACACUAAACUUUUUUGCCUGCCUAUUGUGUGCCGGAAAUUUUAUAAUAUUAAAAGGGAAGCUAAAUAUUGUUAAGCAGUCUAUAGGAGAGUCUUUUUAAACUAACUGAUCUCUUUCUCUUGUAACCUUACGCCAUCUGAUGCAAAAUUAUUUUUGGCUUCUAUGAGCUGCAAAACAAUAAGCAUGGAUCAUCAGCAUGUGAAGACUAAAGCUGUAUCUACUCUGUGGAUCAGGAUUUGGCCUGACGCUUUGUCCCCCCCAUGAAACUGCAUGAAACUUAGGAAUUACUGUUUGCAUCACAAGAACAAGCCGUGAAAUCUCACUGCAACAAACAGCAUUUUAGCCUUGGUUCAGACACAGUGAGCCACACAGUGUUUGUCACUAGGGCAGCAUCCCAGCGUGGGUAAGGCCAGAGGGACCACAGUGCCAAAUUACGAGAUGAGGUUGUAGACAGGGAGCACCACACUCUUCUACCAAUGCUAAAGGGACAUCAUUGCUUCCUUGCAGAAAUAUGAAAGAAACAUUCUUACCCUUUUAAUUACCAAACAGAAGGUUCUCCCAGGCUCUACUGCAGCCUUUCCAGCUGUCCUCUCAUUAGAUGUUAGCUUCAUCCCCAUAAUGCGUAGCUAGAUUGUCAGUCUAGAGUUGCAGGUCCCUUCAAUUCCUUCUUCAGGUAACCCCCUGCAGAUGUACUUUUCAUUGUAAGAAGCUGAGGCACCUUGGUAAGCAUCAUUAAAGGUAUAGAGUAGGAAUAGUCAUUAAAAAAAGAAAUGUGAGAAAGGUGUGUGUGGGGGGGAAAGCAUUAGUGAUAAAUAAAAUGGUACGAUGGUUCUCUCCUCCA
rnacentral:lncRNA from 1 species